UACGGGGGGGGGCAAGCGUUGUUCGGAAUUACUGGGCGUAAAGGGCGCGUAGGCGGCCAUCUAAGUCAGACGUGAAAUCCCUCGGCUCAACCGAGGAACUGCGUCUGAUACUGGAAGGCUUGAAUCCGGGAGAGGGAUGUGGAAUUCCAGGUGUAGCGGUGAAAUGCGUAGAUAUCUGGAGGAACACCGGUGGCGAAGGCGGCAUCCUGGCCCGAUACUGACGCUGAGGCACGAAAAGCGUGGGGAG
rnacentral:rRNA from 1 species